GACAGCCUUCAAGAAAUGCGACUAAUUGUUGGAAAGGACGAGCAACUGAAGACAUGACACGGUUGAGAUAUUUUAGCCAUGUUUGAAAGCGGCAGGUUAAAUACAGAAAAAUCGUCGAUGACAUAAAGAUACAUGUCGAGCGUACGGACAGUGAAAGAACGCGAACCCUGGCAGUGGUACAAGAGAUGAAGAUCAAGAAGAAGAUAGAGGAGUACGUUAUUAUUUUU